UACGUAGGAGACGAGCGUUGUCCGGAGUUACUGGGCGUAAAGGGUGCGCAGGUGGCCGCGCGCGUGGGGAGUGAAAUCGCCUGGCUUAACUGGGCGGGGGCUUUCCAGACGGCGUGGCUUGAGCCACGGAGGGGGGCGUGGAAUUCCGGGUGGAGCGGUGAAAUGCGUAGAGAUCCGGAAGAACACCGGAGGCGAAGGCGGCUUGCUGGACCUGGUCUGACGCUGAGGCGCGAAAGCGUGGGGAGCGAACAGG
rnacentral:rRNA from 1 species